GAAAUGCGAUAAGUAAUGUGAAUUGCAGAAUUCAGUGAAUCAUCGAAUCUUUGAACGCACAUUGCGCCCCCUGGUAUUCCGGGGGGCAUGCCUGUUCGAGCGUCAUUUCACCACUCAUGCCUCGCUUGGUAUUGGGCGACGCGGUCCGCCGCGCGCCUCAAAUCGACCGGCUGGGUCUUCCGUCCCCUCAGCGUUGUGGAAACUAUUCGCUAAAGGGUGCCGCGGGAGGUCACGCCGCAAAACAACCCCAUUUCUAAGGUUGACCUCGGAUCAGGUAGGGAUACCCGCUGAACUUAAGC
rnacentral:misc_RNA from 1 species